rnacentral:rRNA from 1 species
UCUGCGGCCGAUUAGGUAGUUGGUUAGGUAAUGGCUUACCAAGCCGUUGAUCGGUACGGGUUGUGAGAGCAAGAGCCCGGAGAUGGAACCUGAGACAAGGUUCCAGGCCCUACGGGGUGCAGCAGGCGCGAAACCUCCGCAAUGUGAGAAAUCGCGACGGGGGGAUCCCAAGUGCCAUUCUUAACGGGAUGGCUUUUCAUUAGUGUAAAGAGCUUUUGGAAUAAGAGCUGGGCAAGACCGGUGCCAGCCGCCGCGGUAACACCGGCAGCUCUAGUGGUAGCAAUUUUUAUUGGGCCUAAAGCGUCCGUAGCCGGUUUAAUAAGUCUCUGGUGAAAUCCUGUAGCUUAACUGUGGGAAUUGCUGGAGAUACUAUUAGACUUGAGACCGGGAGAGGUUGGAGGUACUCCCAGGGUAGAGGUGAAAUUCUGUAAUCCUGGGAGGACCGCCUGUUGCGAAGGCGUCUAACUGGAACGGUUCUGACGGUGAGGGACGAAAGUUAGGGGCGCGAACCGGAUUAGAUACCCGGGUAGUCCUAACUGUAAACGAUGCGGACUUGGUGUUGGGGUGGCUUUGAGCUGCUCCAGUGCCGAAGGGAAGCUGUUAAGUCCGCCGCCUGGGAAGUACGGUCGCAAGACUGAAACUU